rnacentral:rRNA from 1 species
GAGACACGGUCCAGACUCCUACGGGAGGCAGCAGUAGGGAAUCUUCCGCAAUGGGCGAAAGCCUGACGGAGCAACGCCGCGUGAGUGAUGAAGGUCUUCGGAUCGUAAAACUCUGUUAUUAGGGAAGAACAUAUGUGUAAGUAACUGUGCACAUCUUGACGGUACCUAAUCAGAAAGCCACGGCUAACUACGUGCCAGCAGCCGCGGUAAUACGUAGGUGGCAAGCGUUAUCCGGAAUUAUUGGGCGUAAAGCGCGCGUAGGCGGUUUUUUAAGUCUGAUGUGAAAGCCCACGGCUCAACCGUGGAGGGUCAUUGGAAACUGGAAAACUUGAGUGCAGAAGAGGAAAGUGGAAUUCCAUGUGUAGCGGUGAAAUGCGCAGAGAUAUGGAGGAACACCAGUGGCGAAGGCGACUUUCUGGUCUGUAACUGACGCUGAUGUGCGAAAGCGUGGGGAUCAAACAGGAUUAGAUACCCUGGUAGUCCACGCCGUAAACGAUGAGUGCUAAGUGUUAGGGGGUUUCCGCCCCUUAGUGCUGCAGCUAACGCAUUAAGCACUCCGCCUGGGGAGUACGACCGCAAGGUUGAAACUCAAAGGAAUUGACGGC